rnacentral:rRNA from 1 species
CACGUAGGGCGCAAGCGUUGUCCGGAAUUAUUGGGCGUAAAGAGCUCGUAGGCGGUCUGUUGCGUCCGCUGUGAAAACUCGGGGCUUAACCCCGAGCCUGCAGUGGAUACGGGCAGACUAGAGGUAGGUAGGGAGAAUGGAAUUCCCGGUGUAGCGGUGAAAUGCGCAGAUAUCGGGAAGAACACCCGUGGCGAAGCGGCUACUCUGGGACGGUACUGACGCUGAGACGCGAAAGCGUGGGGAGCGAACAGG